rnacentral:tRNA from 1 species
GCGGGUGUAGUUCAAUGGUAGAAUAUCAGCCUUCCAAGCUGAUUACGUGGGUUCGAUUCCCAUCACCCGCUCCA